GAUGAACGCUGGCGGCGUGCCUAAUACAUGCAAGUCGAGCGGUAAGGCCCUUCGGGGUACACGAGCGGCGGACGGCUGAGUAACGCGUAGGAACGUACCCUAAAGUGAGGGAUAAGCACCGGAAACGGUGUCUAAUACCGCAUGUGGUCUAAGGAUCAAAGCCUUCGGGCGCUUUGGGAGCGGCCUGCGUAUGAUUAGCUAGUUGGUGAGGUAAUGGCUCACCAAGACGACGAUCAUUAGCUGGUCUGAGAGGAUGAUCAGCCAGACUGGGACUGAGACACGGCCCAGACUCCUACGGGAGGCAGCAGUAGGGAAUUUUCCACAAUGGACGAAAGUCUGAUGGAGCAACGCCGCGUGCAGGAUGACGGCCUUCGGGUUGUAAACUGCUUUUAUGAGUGAUGAUUAUGACAGUAGCUCAAGAAUAAGGGUCGGCUAACUACGUGCCAGCCGCCGCCGUAA
rnacentral:rRNA from 1 species